rnacentral:lncRNA from 1 species
AGGAGCCCUGUGGAGGUGACACUGGGCGCCUUAGAGGAGAGAGCUGCGUGAUGUAUCACCACUCACCAGCCCUUGCCGGAGACCUGUUUAGAGUGAGAUUACAGUCUCAGCAGAGCCUCUCAUUUCUCCUGGUCACGGGGUUACAGAGCACUUUACAACUUGUGCUACAGGAAGGCAGGGAGGGAUUUAAAUGAGAGACUGGAAGAGACCCUCCAUAAACCUCAGCCAGAGCAGCCCUGACUCACAGGAUGAGGAUAUAGCAAGAAGAUGGUCAUCUGCAAACCAGGAGGAGGAUCCUCACCAGAACCCAACCCUGCUGGUACCUUGAUCUUGAACUUCUCAGCCUCCAUAACAGGCUAUCAACAGGGUAAUGGAGUAUGGAGUCACGCCGAUGGAGAUUUGUCUUAGAUAGUAUGAUUAGGGAAGACCCUUCUGAAUUGAGACCUAAAGGACAAGAAUGAGCUGCCCACAAACAAAACAAGAAGAGGAUACCAGACAAAGGGAUAGAGUGAAGAAAGAACAUUCUCAUUCUUCCUUCUAUGCUGAUGGUACAAGAAAGUCCUGGAAUCCUAAGGAUCUAGGAAAAAUCAACUUGAGAAGUUUCUAUGUGGUAAGAAAAGCUAUGAUGUGUCUUGCCCUUUUCUCAUCUACCAUAUUGAAAUUGAAUGUACAGUUCUGUAUACGGUUCAGAGUUCUUAAAGAUGUAGAAAUGAUGAGAACAUAACAAAAGGUAUUCUUUAGUAUUCUCAACUUUCCCUGUGCUCUACUUCUUCCAAACGCAAGGCUAAAGACGCUUUAAAAAAUGAGAUUGUGACAAAAUGCUAACUACGACAUAUUCAGACAUUCCAAAACCUGAAAGUGGAUCUGAAGCCAGCAGAUUCACUACUCACUGUUCUUAGGUUUUGGCAUUUUUCUGUCUACCUUCUCUCAACUAAACCUUCAUGACGGUUUUUCCUGUAAGGACAAUUACAAUAAGAUACACUCCCUUCCCCAUCUUAACUCAGAUUAUUAUGAUGCUAUUUCUGCAUUUUUGUAUCAUGUGAUGGUGGUUUCUUUGUGGUAUAUGACAAAAAUGCCCUUCUUCUUGACUCCACAGGAAGAAAACUGGCUAUUAGCUUGGGACUUCAGCAAGGCACUUAGCAAGGUCUCUCAUAAUAUCCUGUGGUCAAGAAGAAAAAUAUAGGCUGGAUGACUGUACAAUUAACAUGAUUCAUAGCUGGCUGGAACAACUUAUGCCAAAAAGUGCCAAUUAAUGGACGGAUAUCAAACUGAAGGAGCUCUCCAGAUGUUCUACAGCAAUUUGCCUCUUGCCCAGUGGUGCCUGGUACCUAUUAUCAAUAACUUGGAUAAAUAUAUAGAAUAGUUAUCAAAUAUAUGGGUAAGAUCCAAGUGCAUUACAGCACAGAAUCAGGACCCAAAAUAAUAAAACAGGCUGAACUAAUGGGCCAAAUCCAAUGAGAUAAAGUUUAAGUAGGAUAAUAUAAAGUUCUGUACUUUGGUCCAAAAAAUCCCCACUACUCAAGUAUAGGGUACACAAAAUUUUGUUAUAUAGAUGGCAGCAUAUAGAUGUAGCUGUUAAAAUAAGUCCAUUAAAUGUUAGGCAGCAUUAUAAGCAGUAGCUAUCUAUUGAGUAGUAGAAAGAACAUUGGAUUUGGCAUUAGAAAACUGGG